UACGGAGGGUGCAAACGUUGCUCGGAAUCAUUGGGCGUAAAGCGCACGUAGGCGGACCAUCAAGUCGGUUGUGGAAUCCCUCGGCUUAACCGAGGACGUGCAUUCGAAACUGAUGGCCUUGAGUACGAAAGAGGAUCGCGGAAUUCCCGGUGUAGAGGUGAAAUUCGUAGAUAUCGGGAGGAACACCAGUGGCGAAGGCGGCGAUCUGGGUCGAUACUGACGCUGAGGUGCGAAAGCGUGGGGAGCAAACAGG
rnacentral:rRNA from 1 species